ACACAAAAUAUGUGGCAUCCCAAUUAAUUUUGGUGUGUGAGUUCCUUCACAAAGAAGGACUCUUCCUUUUCUUCUGCACCCAUAUAUCCCAAGGCACCAUCUGAUGGUGCGUAAAAUAAAGGAACACGUGGAGAUAAGAAGGAAAUUAAGGGGAGUGGAUGAGAAGGACUCCUCCAUCUUAAUGCCUAAAAUAAAUGUAGCGUGCCUUUUUUAUUUGCACAGACAAAUGGCAUGGAGAUGGAUAAAUCCAGAUGAAACACUUUCAAGUAGAUU
rnacentral:lncRNA from 1 species